UAGACAGCAGUAGAUAAACUGUCACCAGAGAUACAGACAGAGAGACUGAGAAAGGGGAGGGAGGUGUUGGAAAUGGAUCAGGUAAAUUUGAGGGCAGGGUGGAAGUUGGAGACAAAAUAGAUGAAGUUGAGUGGCCACCCAUUUUAAUUCCACUUCCCAUUCCCAUUUUGACAUGUCAGUCCAUGGCCUCCUCUGCUGUCAUGAUGAAGCCAUUCUCAGGUUGGAGGAGCAACACCUUAUAUUCCAUAUGGGUAGCCUCCAAACUAAUGGCAUAAACAUCAAUUUCUUGAACUUCCGGUAAUGUUCCCCACCCCCCCCCCCCUUCACCAUUCCCUAAUCCUGUUUCCCUCUCUCACCUUAUCUCCUCAACAGCCCAUCACCUCCCUCUGGCACUCCUCCCCCUUUUCUUUAUUCCAUGGCAUUCUGUCCUCUCCAGCUCUUUAUCUUUUCCUAGCUCUUCACUUAACCCCUCCUGGUUUCACCUAUCACCUCCUUCUUAAUCUGACUCCUCACUUUAUUUACUUCAGUCCUGAUGAAGGGUCUCAGUCUAAAACAUCAACUGCACUCUUUUUCAUAGAUGCUGCCUGGCCUGAUGAGUCCUUCCAGCAUUGUGUGUGUGUUGAUCAGAAUUACUUUAUUGAUUGUGGUUAAGUACCAAGCAUAAAAUACAGGACAAUACUAGAACAGACAACACAAUAGCAACCAACAAUUUACAAGACAAUAGUGCAAACAGUCAUUAGCAAUCAACAAUUAGCACAAACAUCAAUAAUCAAACAAAAAUAAAUAUGAACAUAUGAACAGACUACAUAAUAAUUACAUAUGUAGAACAAAGAGAGCAGGAAAGACCAUUUAAUGGAUGCUGUGCAUGGGAUAUUUAAGGUAUUACACCUGAGUGAGUUUGUUGAGAAUAGGUGAAUAGGUGACUGCUAGGGUGGGUGGAGUUAGCAGUAAUUUCUUCAGCUCUCUUCUUCGCCCUGGUGAUGAACAGGUCCUUUCACGUCAGGUACUUACAUCCAAUGAUCUUUGCUGGUGAGUGGACCACUCACUGCAACCUGGGCUUGGAGAGGGAGGAGGAGGCGGCGAGAAACCAAAUGUUGAUAGAGGUGGUAACAACACUCUCAAUGAUGGGAGGAGAUCUGGUGGAGGUGUGCAAUUGAGGAUGGCAGCGAGAAAUCCAAGCAAAACAAGAAGUGAGCAGAACUGAGACUGAGUGCAUUCAAACCUACACACAGAAAGGCAACUGUGACUGUUCAAAGUAAGGGAACAUGAUACAAAGACUAUGGGGCAUUCGCUUCCAUCAUUCAUAACAUGUGAUGUGACAGCACCUAUACCAUAACACGAGGCCUCACAGGGAACCUUCACUGGACAAUGUGGAUCAGAAUGUCAUUAAGCCCUUGAAGUCUUUGACUUCCACGUAAGAAGGCAGAUCAAGCUUUGGUUUGCCAUUUCACCGGAAGUCUGCACAUCUAAGAGAAUGUCUCCCUCAAUACAGCACUGCAGUAUCAGUCUGGAUUUGUGUACUCAACAAUGGGCUUGGGACCUGAAUCCACCCUCAUGAACUCAGAGGCGACAGUCACGUUAAUUCACCCUUGUCUGUUAGCAACUGUCCAGUUUGUAUCUCAGACUGGAUCUGAAUGAAUGCAUUUUAAUGUUACUCUCCCACGUUGCUAAAUGCACUCCAAGGAAAAUAUCUAAAGACUGUUACACUCCUGUUAUCUUGA